rnacentral:rRNA from 1 species
UACAUGGGGUGCAAACGUUGCUCGGAAUUAUUGGGCGUAAAGCGCGCGUAGGCGGUUAUCUAAGUCGGAUGUGAAAGCCCUCGGCUUAACUGAGGAAGUGCACCCGAAACUGGAUAGCUAGAGUACGAAAGAGGGUCGCGGAAUUCCCGGUGUAGAGGUGAAAUUCGUAGAUAUGGGGGAGGAACACCGGUGGCGAAGGCGGCCAUCUGGACGGAUACUGACGCUGAGACGCGAAAGCGUGGGGAGCAAACAGG